GCCACACCGUCCUGGUACCCAGCUCAGAUUGAACGCUGGCGGCAGGCCUAACACAUGCAAGUCGAGCGGUAACAGAGAGAAGCUUGCUUCUUUGCUGACGAGCGGCGGACGGGUGAGUAAUACUUGGGAACUUGCCUCUAGGCGGGGGACAACCACUGGAAACGGUGGCUAAUACCGCAUAAUGUCUACGGACCAAAGUGGGGGACCUUCGGGCCUCACACCUAGAGAUGGGCCCAAGUGGGAUUAGCUAGUUGGUGAGGUAAAGGCUCACCAAGGCAGACGAUCCCUAGCUGUUCUGAGAGGAUGAUCAGCCACACUGGGACUGAGACACGGCCCAGACUCCUACGGGAGGCAGCAGUGGGGAAUAUUGCACAAUGGGCGCAAGCCUGAUGCAGCCAUCGGCCGCGUGUGUGAAGAAGGCCUUCGGGUUGUAAAGCACUUUCAGUGGUGAGGAAGGUCAGUAAGUUAAUAGCUUGCUGAAUUGACGUUAGCCACAGAAGAAGCACCGGCUAACUCCGUGCCAGCAGCCGCGGCUAAUACGGAGGGUGCAAGCGUUAAUCGGAAUUACUGGGCGUAAAGCGUACGUAGGCGGUGUGUUAAGCAAGAUGUGAAAGCCCCGGGCUCAACCUGGGAAUUGCAUUUUGAACUGGCACGCUAGAGUCCUGAAGAGGGUGGUAGAAUUUCCAGUGUAGCGGUGAAAUGCGUAGAUAUUGGAAGGAAUACCAGUGGCGAAGGCGGCCACCUGGUCAGAGACUGACGCUGAGGUACGAAAGCGUGGGGAGCAAACAGGAUUAGAUACCCUGGUAGUCCACGCCGUAAACGAUGUCAACUAGUUGUUCGUGUCACUAAGACGUGAGUAACGCAGCUAACGCACUAAGUGACCGCCUGGAGACCCGACUUGG
rnacentral:rRNA from 1 species